CACAUGCUCAGUUGUCACAAAACGAUUAUCUGGCCAACGGUUCCGGCUCCAAGUCUCGAUGAAUUGGAAAAUUGGUUGGGCAAAAACCUGCAUUUACCAAUAUCAUUAGCCAAUCAUUUUGGAGGUGCUUGUACUUUAAGGACCUGGUUGCUGGUCUGCAUGAAGGUGCCCAUGUGUCAACAGCAAGAACAGAACCUGUGUGCUAGUUGGUGGAUGAGCAUCAAGCCACACCUAGCGGACCAGGUCAGGACAAUCUCUAAUGAUGUUCAUCAUUCAAUUGGAUUUGUCUUGACUGGCAGGAGAGGUGAAUCCACAUGUCAGGUUGAGGUCAGAGAGCUUGUUUUGCAUGAUGUGGUUUGAAGGUUCCUACCCAGUGCACCUACAUCUGACACUCAUCACAGUGUCAGAGGACAUGGUUGCUGUACCAAAACCACGCCCUUGAAAUGUCAAAGGUUUCUCUACCACAGCUAGUCAAUGGUGGGCUCACAGUGCAGAUCAUGUUUGAUCCUAUCGCUGUAGGCAAACUGUGAUGAUGUUGUUUGCAAGCUUCAUCAAGGAAUCAAAGCUCCCAGCUUUAGGUGUUUACCUGGAAAGCACCGAUGAGAUGGACGACGAUGCAUAUAUUCCCGAUGUCGACGAGCCAAAAUGGAUCGUAGAAGCCGAAUCCUGUCAAGAAGUUGCCGGGCGCAGUGUUCCCAAACGCAGCAUAUCCCAGCACACCACACAGCAUGUAGAAGGUGGUGGUGGUGAGGACCCCAAUGGUGGUGGCCUUCUUCAUCACCUGGUUUUCCGGUGGACUCGAUCUCAGAGUAUCCUGUCAACCAUUCAUCAGAAUUCAGCAUCAUCAUAUCAAUGAUGACAAAGCUUGUCAGUGAGGAGGAGCACAGAACUGCAUACCUGGAUCUCGAUGAGAACGUUGGAGUAAGCAUACGCAAAGGCGAUGUCCCCGAGAGCCUGAAAUGUUCGCCAGAUCUUCUCGCUCCCCGAGACAUCCACCCCCACCGUGACUCCUGUCAGGCUGGUCCUCGCAUGAGGCCCUUCUGCGUUGCGGGAACAUGGAUGCAUGUCAGGCAUGGAGACAAGGAGAAGAGAGUGGGCUAUUUUUGGAGGACCCACCUGCUAUUUUGGCAAUGGAGAGGCCGAGGCCGAUACUGGAGUAGGCGACGGACAUGAUGGCCGCCACAAUGGAGAGCCACCAGAUCUUGUGGAAAUUAGGGAUCUGAGACAGAACAAUCUGUAUGCACGCGAAGAUGGUCAUGUUGGUGGUGUUGGACUCCCCGCACGCGGCGUCGUGGCCGUUCCUGUGGAAGCAGUUCGACCUUUUCACGGCCCUGAACACAUGCAGGUAUCGGAGGUGAGAAGGAAUCCUUCAGUGGAUUCACAUGGAGAUGUACGACUGGGAAAAGCUAAGCUUAUCACCCCAUGCUGAUGGCCGUCGUGAUGGUAUAGCCAAUGGUGACUCCUACAAGAUUCACGUACUGAGCCAGUGCGCACAGUUUGGAGCUCACACCCCCUGAAAGAGAAGCAGAGAUGAAGCAAGAUGGCAAGUGUGCCGAAACGGAUGACCCACUUGUGAUCCGUGUCUACCUAGGUGCGUCCUCACAGCAUCUUUGUAUCUGUAGUUUCUCUUGCCCUGAGGAGAUCGAUAGCAGUCCGCAAGGAGGCUGGAGCAGAACCAGGUGAUGAGAGAGAAGAUCAAGAGAACUGUCGGACCAGCGAUCCACCCUAACUGAGCCAAGGCCCAGGCGAGCGAGAGCACCCCGGAGCCGAUGACGGCGGUAAUGAUGUGAGCACUCGCAGUCACCAGCGUCCCUGCAGCCACCCAUCGAUCGAUGUCAAGGUAAGAGCUGCUGCUGCAACGAAGAAGAGAGUGUUGGAGACCAACCUGUACGCUUGACGCGGCCGUCGUCGUCGAAGUCGUCCCGUGCCGGACCGCGGCCGCUGGCUAUCUCGAAGGAGGCUUCCUCCAUGGGGACAGACUUUCCCUGCACCUCACUCGCCAUGACCAUACGCUCUCUCGCUCUCUCUCUCUCUCUCUUUAUAUCCUAGCCUUGGUCAGAGACAGUGCAUGUAUCGGCGACCUGCUGCCUUCCUCAGUAAAAUAAAGGAGGAAGAAGACAAGCCGACCUUCUUUAGAUCAUUCACAUGAGAGUUAGAAUAAAGAGGAUCUUCCACAAGGAAUUACUCGACCACACGUUCUUACCUCCUCCGCCCACCUUCUUGUCGUCUCCUUGUGUGAGGUCCAUGGUGGAGUCCAAGCUGGUCUUCCUGACUUGGACCGAGACCUGCUCUAAGUUGUAUUCUUCUCAGGCAGACUGAGCUUCGGUUUGAGGAAUAAGGUCAAUCAAACAACUUUGACUAGUACCAAUACACCUUGAGAAGGGAACAACCCUAAGGAUACUACUAUAUGUUGUAUUAAAUGGGUUUUAGUUUGGGUGCAUGCAUGAAGUGUGGAGACUAAAUUAGAAGAGAUUUGAUGGAAACAAAGUUUACAUUUACUUCUUCCAUUAUCUUUUGUCUCUCUUGUCUUUUUCAUAAUAUAUAUUUUAAAUAUAACUUCAUCCUUUA